UGAUCCUGGCUCAGGAUGAACGCUGGCGGCGUGCUUAACACAUGCAAGUCGAACGAACCUUCGGGUUAGUGGCGGACGGGUGAGUAACGCGUGGGAAUCUGCCCUCAGGAGGGGGAUAACGGCUGGAAACGGCCGCUAAUACCCCAUAUGCCGAGAGGUGAAAUGAAUUUCGCCUGAGGAUGAGCCCGCGUCUGAUUAGCUAGUUGGUGUGGUAAUGGCUCACCAAGGCUUCGAUCAGUAGCUGGUCUGAGAGGAUGAUCAGCCACACUGGGACUGAGACACGGCCCAGACUCCUACGGGAGGCAGCAGUGGGGAAUUUUCCGCAAUGGGCGAAAGCCUGACGGAGCAACGCCGCGUGAGGGAUGAAGGCCUCUGGGCUGUAAACCUCUUUUUUCAAGGAAGAAGACCUGACGGUACUUGAAGAAUAAGCCACGGCUAAUUCCGUGCCAGCAGCCGCGGUAAUACGGGAGUGGCAAGCGUUAUCCGGAAUUAUUGGGCGUAAAGCGUCCGCAGGCGGCCCUGAAAGUCUGUCGUUAAAGCGUGGAGCUCAACUCCAUUUAAGCGAUGGAAACUACAGGGCUAGAGUGUGGUAGGGGCAGAGGGAAUUCCCGGUGUAGCGGUGAAAUGCGUAGAUAUCGGGAAGAACACCAGUGGCGAAGGCGCUCUGCUGGGCCAUAACUGACGCUCAUGGACGAAAGCCAGGGGAGCGAAAGGGAUUAGAUACCCCUGUAGUCCUGGCCGUAAACGAUGAACACUAGGUGUCGGGGGAAUCGACCCCCUCGGUGUCGUAGCCAACGCGUUAAGCGUUCCGCCUGGGGAGUACGCACGCAAGUGUGAAACUCAAAGGAAUUGACGGGGGCCCGCACAAGCGGUGGAGUAUGUGGUUUAAUUCGAUGCAACGCGAAGAACCUUACCAGGGUUUGACAUCCUGCGAAUCCCUUGGAAACGAGGGAGUGCCUUCGGGAGCGCAGAGACAGGUGGUGCAUGGCUGUCGUCAGCUCGUGUCGUGAGAUGUUGGGUUAAGUCCCGCAACGAGCGCAACCCACGUCGUUAGUUGCCAGCAUUCAGUUGGGCACUCUAGCGAGACCGCCGGUGAUAAACCGGAGGAAGGUGUGGAUGACGUCAAGUCAUCAUGCCCCUACAUCCUGGGCUACACACGUACUACAAUGCUACGGACAAAGGGCAGCAAGCUCGCGAGAGUUAGCAAAUCCCAUAAACCGUGGCUCAGUUCAGAUCGUAGGCUGCAACUCGCCUACGUGAAGGAGGAAUCGCUAGUAAUCGCAGGUCAGCAUACUGCGGUGAAUACGUUCCCGGGCCUUGUACC
rnacentral:rRNA from 1 species